rnacentral:lncRNA from 1 species
GUGAUGCUGCGGCUGCUUCGCACUGUGGCUCCUGCCGACCGCCAGGCGCUGCUACGGUGGAUGCGAACUAACCAUGCAGCAGCAGCUGGAACCCACAGUUCACCUUGGUGCAUUCCUUUAUGAUGAAGACUUAUUGAUUCAUUAUAUGAGAAAGGAAAAAUGAGCAGAAACUACUGUAUGAUGUGCAGCUCACACCUGACAGCACCUUUAGGGUUAUCUUUCCAGUUCAGCAGUGCAACUCUAUGGAGUAGAAUUGAAAGGAGACUUUCGCCAAUUGCAG